CGCGGAGUGGAGCAGCCCGGUAGCUCGCGAGGUUCAUUCCCUCGAGGUCGCAGGUUCGAAUCCUGCCUCCGCCAC
rnacentral:tRNA from 1 species